CGAACGGUCGUUGGUACUGUAGUUGGAUCAAACACGAUGUACUUACGGUCGGCAUCCUUCUUUAAUUUGCAUCUUCUAUCCCUCUUUUCUUCCCUCUCCUUUUUUUCUCCUUGGAACACCCGCAACGCCGUUGCUUGGAUUCGUUUUUUUCUUCUUCUUUUUGGUGGUGAAGAAGAAGGUCGCAUUCCAGAGUUCGUUUUCUGCACGCUCCGAGCUGUACUUCAUUCGGCACGGCUUGUAGUGCUUCACCUCCCUUGUCCUCCUCCACCUCUACAACUAAUAAGUAUUUUCUUUUGACCCCAAUUCCCAAAAGCUCCAAUCCUCUUUCAAAAACCAGAGGACCCUCGGCAGCUGCUGCCUGCAACAAACAUCCGUCGGCCAUCAGGAUCGCAGUUGUUUCACCGCUGGAAAUCAUUAAGCCGCGUUUAGCCGUCAAGCCCGAGAGCCCAGCUAACUAAUCCGUGGACGUCGUCCUGCUGGUUCUCCACGGGCCGGCACGCGUAGCCAAGCUACGCGGCGACCAUGCCCGGGGACCCUUGUAAAUUCUAACAGCCGGCGUUGUCGCGUGGAGCAUCAUCUAUCGGAGGCGCCGUGUCCGCACGGGCGGCCGCCGCCGCCGCCGGUGCACGGCUCGCUCGCAGGUCUAAGCACGUCUCUCGCGCACAAACCAUCGGGUUGCGACCGGUUCCUUUUCUGCUCUCCGUGAGAGAAAAGCUACGUUUUUUUUCCCUGGAAGAACGAGGCAUGGUUAGGCAGUGGGGAAAGAAGGGGUGGCGCGUCGUGCGUUUCGGCAAAGAUCUCGGUGUUAUUUUCGCUGAUGAUCAGCAAUGCUUUUAGUUUCAUCGCUGUUGGGAUAUACUCUUUCUAGCUGGUUGCUUAACGAGGCCACAUCAUGAUUGGCGGGCGAGCAUUUCUUUCUGUUCUCCUCUCUGGUGAUCCGCGUAGCCUGUUUCUGUUUUC
rnacentral:lncRNA from 1 species